UACGAAGGGGGGCUAGCGUUGCUCGGAAUCACUGGGCGUAAGGGUGCGUAGGCGGGUCUUUAAGUCAGGGGUGAAAUCCUGGAGCUCAACUCCAGAACUGCCUUUGAUACUGAAGAUCUUGAGUUCGGGAGAGGUGAGUGGAACUGCGAGUGUAGAGGUGAAAUUCGUAGAUAUUCGCAAGAACACCAGUGGCGAAGGCGGCUCACUGGCCCGAUACUGACGCUGAGGCA
rnacentral:rRNA from 1 species